rfam:Stylonychia lemnae strain 130c genome assembly, contig: Contig14505
GCCCGUCUAGCUCAGUCGGUAGAGCGCUUGGCUCUUAACCAAGUGGUCGUGGGUUCGAGCCCCACGGUGGGCG